rnacentral:lncRNA from 1 species
CGCGCCGCACGAUGGAGCUGGUCAGCUGUGUGAUGGGGAGCUCAGUGGCGGGCCAGUUAGGAUGAAGUAGUGGCCAUUCCAGGCCUGUCGGUCCUUGUCCAGAGUGACGUGGGCGAUGGUGGUGUUGUACUGGACACGGAGCCCCAGCGUGUCCGCGAAGUCACCCAGGUAGCGCACCAUGUCGCGGGCGUCGGGGAAGUAGGCACGCGAGUAGUGUCUGAAGAGCAGCCGGGGGUCGUGGCUGAGCAGAGAGUUCCAGUCGUGGCGGAGGUUGAACUCGGCGUUAGCCUUGCCCGUGUACCGCUUGUUGAUGCUGAUGAGCUUGCGGUGCCGCGGGUAGCGUGUGAAGAAGCUGCCGGGCCGCGGGGCCCGCUCGAACACUGCGUAGUCGCGUCCAGCGCGCUGCAGGAAGUAGGC